UACGUAGGGUGCGAGCGUUAAUCGGAAUUACUGGGCGUAAAGCGUGCGCAGGCGGCUUUGCAAGACAGAUGUGAAAUCCCCGGGCUCAACCUGGGAACUGCAUUUGUGACUGCAAGGCUGGAGUACGGCAGAGGGGGAUGGAAUUCCGCGUGUAGCAGUGAAAUGCGUAGAUAUGCGGAGGAACACCAAUGGCGAAGGCAAUCCCCUGGGCCUGUACUGACGCUCAUGCACGAAAGCGUGGGGAGCAAACAGG
rnacentral:rRNA from 1 species